GGUUGGCAUCUCCCUCGACAAGGAUGGGAACAGUCUUCAGACUUUCCUUUCACAAACCCACACGGAACACAGUGCUUGUAGUGGCUCACUGGAUCUAUUCUC
rnacentral:ncRNA from 1 species